AGCAGCCGCGGUAAUUCCAGCUCCAAUAGCGUAUAUUAAAGUUGUUGCAGUUAAAAAGCUCGUAGUUGAAUUUCGAGACCGGUUUACUGGUCGUGCUUUUGUACGUACUGGUAUUAUUGGUUUCUCCUUUCUGACGAAUCAUAAUGCCAUUAAUUUGGUGUUUUGGGGAAUCAGGACUGUUACUUUGAAAAAUUAGAGUGUUUAAAGCAGGCUCACGCUUGAAUACAUUAGCAUGGAAUAACGAAAUAGGACGUUUGAUUUUAUUUUGUUGGUUUCUAGGAUCGACGUAAUGAUUAAUAGGGAUAGUUGGGGGCAUUAGUAUUCAAUUGUCAGAGUGAAAUUCUUGGAUUUAUUGAAGACUAACUACUGCGAAAGCAUUUGCCAAGGAUGUUUUCAUUAAUCAAGAACGAAAGUUAGGGGAUCGAAGACGAUCAGAUACCGUCGUAGUCUUAACCAUAAACUAUGCCGACUAGGGAUCGGAUGAUGUUAAUUUUUUAAUGUACUCA
rnacentral:rRNA from 1 species